GUCGUAUCAAGCGAUUUAUUUUGAUUUAGGAGAUCUUGUCAAUAGGAAGUAAAUAGGAAAAAUAUUUUGGUGUUAAAGUAGGAAGAGAAUUUUUUUAUAGGCUAUAGGGUAAAGUACCGUGAGGGAAAGUUUGAAAUAUUUUUGAAAAGUUUUUAAGGUAAAAGUAAAGAUGAAGUUUUGUACCUUGUGUAUCAGGGAUGUUUUAUAUAGUGUAUUUAAUGAUACGGUUCCCGAAAAAGAGAUAGUUAGAUUAAUAAUAGAGUUUUUGUUGUAAAAAGAUUUAAAAUAUUUUUCUAGUAGUGAAAUAUUAAUCGGGCUCUUUGAUAUCUGGUUCUUUCAGAAAUAAAUUUAAUUUAAUAUCUAUAUAUAAAAAAUAUAGUGGAUUGGGGUAGAAGGGUAGAGCUUUUUAUUUAAUUAUUUUAUUUAUGGGGAUAAAACAAAUAGGUGUUUAACUAGGCUUAGAAAUAGCCAUGUUGUUAAAAUGUUAUUAUUAAAGUUUGUUUUAUAUAAUUUUUUUUAUUCUUUAGACAGGUAUGGGGGAGUUGUAAGAAGUUAAACUUGAGAAGUUAAAAUGGGUGUAUUAGUAUAUAGUUAUAUAUGGUUUUAAAUUUUUAAAAGAUGGGAAAAUUAUAUAAGGGGGGUUUUUAUAAGAAGGAAUUCGGCAAAGAGUACUUCCGCCUGUUUAUCAAAAACAUGUCUAUAUGGGAGAUAUAUAAAGUCUAGCCUGCCCAUUGGUUUUUUCUGAAAGGCCGCGGUAUUAUGACCGUGCAAAGGUAGCAUAAUCAUUAGUCUUUUAAUUGGGGGCUUGUAUGAAUGGUUGGACGAGAAGUAAGCUGUCUCUAAUUAAUGAAUUGAAUUUAACUUUUAAGUGAAAAGGCUUAAAUGAUCUAAAGGGACGAUAAGACCCUAUAAAGCUUUACAUUGAAUUUAUUAAAAAGUAAUUUAAAUAAUAAAAGUUUAUUAGUAGGGAGAUGUUUUGUUGGGGUGACAAGAAUAUAAUAAAUAUAACUGUUCUUUUUUAUUUCAAAAAUAUUUGAAUGGGAGAUCCUUAAUAAAGAUGUUAGAGUAAGUUACUUUAGGGAUAACAGCGUAAUUUUUUUUGAGAGUUCCUAUCGACAGAAAAGUUUGCGACCUCGAUGUUGAAUUAAAGAUUCUUUAUAAUGUAGAAGUUAUACGAGAAGGUCUGUUCGACCUUUAAAUCUUUACAUGAUUUGAGUUCAGACCGGCGUGAGCCAGGUUGGUUUCUAUCUUUUAGGGAAAAGGAGAUUAUUUUAGUACGAAAGGAUUGAAUAAUCAAAAUAAUUUUAUAAUAUGAAAUUCAUUAGAGUUAACUUUAAAGUUAAUUAUAUAAAUUCUGUUAUGUUCAGAGAAAAAAGA
rnacentral:rRNA from 1 species